UUCAUUAGGUCUUACCUAUCUGGGAAGGAACUACCAAUGUCUCGUCUCUAGAUGUCUUGAGGUCGGUUUUCAAAAGUGAAGGCCACCGUCAUUGCUUAUAGAACAUGCAUCAUGGAGGAAGGCAACGGACAGGACAUUCAAGUUGCUGUCAGGUGGUGUCUCCAGGACUUGACCCCAGUCCUCACUCAGUUGAAUUGCAAUGCAUAUGAUCACAAAAACUCCCAAUGCGACAAAGUACUUGUUAUGGAGGGACAUCCAGAGUUUACAUCACCAACAACAGCAACUUGAUUAUUAGCGCCGGCGACUUCCUGUUGUAGAGUUAACAAACUGCGUUGGAAAUAUAGCUUUCCAACUACACAUCAUUUUAGUGUGACGUCAUAGCCAUAUUAGGAGACGAUAAAACAACAGCCAUGUUAUUGAACAAGAUAUUGGUCGAGGAGAAAACAAUAUGGCCGAAGAUCACGUGAUUAAAAACUAUCUGUAGCUCUG